rnacentral:rRNA from 1 species
AACGAACGCUGGCGGCAUGCCUAACACAUGCAAGUCGAACGAGACCUUCGGGUCUAGUGGCGCACGGGUGCGUAACGCGUGGGAACCUGCCCUUAGGUUCGGAAUAACUCCCCGAAAGGGGUGCUAAUACCGGAUAAUGUCUUCGGACCAAAGAUUUAUCGCCUUUGGAUGGGCCCGCGUUGGAUUAGCUAGUUGGUAGGGUAAAAGCCUGCCAAGGCGACGAUCCAUAGCUGGUCUGAGAGGAUGAUCAGCCACACUGGGACUGAGACACGGCCCAGACUCCUACGGGAAGCAGCAGUGGGGAAUAUUGGACAAUGGGCGAAAGCCUGAUCCAGCAAUGCCGCGUGAGUGAUGAAGGCCUUAGGGUUGUAAAGCUCUUUUACCCGGGAUGAUAAUGACAGUACCGGGAGAAUAAGCGCCGGCUAACUCCGUG